AUUCCGGGGAAUUUCCCUGGAAAUUCCGGGGAAUUUCCCUGGAAAUUCCGGGGAAUUUCCCUGGAAAUUCCGGGGAAUUUCCCUGGAAAUUCCGGGGAAUUUCCCUGGAAAUUCCGGGGAAUUUCCCUGGAAAUUCCGGGGAAUUUCCCUGGAAAUUCCGGGGAAUUUCCCUGGAAAUUCCGGGGAAUUUCCCUGGAAAUUCCGGGGAAUUUCCCUGGAAAUUCCGGGGAAUUUCCCUGGAAAUUCCGGGGAAUUUCCCUGGAAAUUCCGGGGAAUUUCCCUGGAAAUUCCGGGGAAUUUCCCUGGAAAUUCCGGGGAAUUUCCCUGGAAAUUCCGGGGAAUUUCCCUGGAAAUUCCGGGGAAUUUCCCUGGAAAUUCCGGGGAAUUUCCCUGGAAAUUCCGGGGAAUUUCCCUGGAAAUUCCGGGGAAUUUCCCUGGAAAUUCCGGGGAAUUUCCCUGGAAAUUCCGGGGAAUUUCCCUGGAAAUUCCGGGGAAUUUCCCUGGAAAUUCCGGGGAAUUUCCCUGGAAAUUCCGGGGAAUUUCCCUGGAAAUUCCGGGGAAUUUCCCUGGAAAUUCCGGGGAAUUUCCCUGGAAAUUCCGGGGAAUUUCCCUGGAAAUUCCUCUGGAAUUUUGCUGG
rnacentral:ncRNA from 1 species